rnacentral:tRNA from 1 species
GCGGUCGUAGCUUAGCCGGUAAAGCAUCGGUUUGUGGUACCGAGGAUCGCGGGUUCAAGUCCCGUCGACCGCCCCA